UACAGAGGGGCAAGCGUUGUUCGGAAUUACUGGGCGUUAAAGGGCUCGUAGGCGGCCAACUAAGUCAGACGUGAAAUCCCUCGGCUUAACCGGGGAACUGCGUCUGAUACUGGAUGGCUUGGUUGGGAGAGGGAUGCGGAAUUCCAGGUGUAGCGGUGAAAUGCGUAGAUAUCUGGAGGAACACCGGUGGCGAAGGCGGCAUCCUGGACCAACACUGACGCUGAGUGAGCGAAAGCCAGGGGAGCAAACGGG
rnacentral:rRNA from 1 species